AUUGAACGCUGGCGGCAGGCUUAACACAUGCAAGUCGAACGAGCGGCGGACGGGUGAGUAAUGUAUGGGGAUCUGCCCGAUAGAGGGGGAUAACUACUGGAAACGGUGGCUAAUACCGCAUACUAUAGUAUGAAAACAUAUGGGAUUAGCUCGUAGGGGGGGUAAAGGCUCACCAACCGACGGUCUCUAGCUGGUAUGAGAGGAUGACCAGCCACACUGGUACUGAGACCCGGCCCAGAUGCCUACGGGAGGCAGCAGUGGGGAAUAUUGCGCAAUUGGGGCAACCCUGACGCAGCCAUGCCGCGUGAAUGAAGAAGGCCUUCGGGUUGUAAAGUUCUUUCGGUAGCGAGGCGUUAACUACAGAAGAAGCACCGGCUAACUCCGUGCCAGCAGCCGCGGUAAUAC
rnacentral:rRNA from 1 species